rnacentral:rRNA from 1 species
CCUACGGGAGGCAGCAGUGGGGAAUAUUGGGCAAUGGACGAAACUCUGACCCAGCAACGCCGCGUGCAGGAUGAAGGUUUUCGGAUUGUAACCUUCUUUCGCGAGGGAUGAAGAAUGACGGUACCUCGUAAGCAAGCCACGUCCACCUACGGGCCAGCAGCCGCGGUAAUCCGUAGGGAGCGAGCGUUGUCCGGAAGGACUGGGCGUAAAGGGCGUGUAGGCGGCAUAUUACGUUUUGUGUGAAAGCGCGCGGCUUAACGGCGGACUUGCACAUAAAACUGGUAAGCUGGAGUGCAGGAGAGGUAUGUGGAAUGCCCGGUGUAGCGGUGGAAUGCGUAGAUAUCGGGAGGAACACCAGAUGCGAAGGCGACUUACUGGACUGUAACUGACGCUGAGGCUCGAAAGCGUGGGGAGCAAACAGGAUUAGAUACCCUGGUAGUC